rnacentral:rRNA from 1 species
UGUAAGCGUAUACCAAAGUUGUUGCAGUUAAAACGCUCGUAGUCGGAAUUUGGCAGUUCCGGAUGUGUGCACGUCGUGUGCGCACUUCGCGGGGAUUGCUUUUGUGGUCUUGCGUAGGAUGAGGCACUUUUAUUAGUGAACGUCCUCACGCAACCACUUUUUACUGUGAGAAAAUCAGAGUGCUCAAAGCAGGCAUUUGCCGUGAAUGUAUUAGCAUGGAAUAAUAGAAUAGGACUUGGUUCUAUUUUGUUGGUUUGUUGGGACUGAGUAAUGAUUAAGAGGGACAGUUGGGGGCAUUUGUAUUUCGGUGCUAGAGGUGAAAUUCUUAGAUUACCUAAAGACAAACUGCUGCGAAAGCGUCUGCCAAGGAUGUUUUCAUUGA